GAUGAAGAACGUAGCGAAAUGCGAUAAGUAAUGUGAAUUGCAGAAUUCAGUGAAUCAUCGAAUCUUUGAACGCACAUUGCGCCCGCCAGUAUUCUGGCGGACAUGCCUGUUCGAGCGUCAUUUCAACCCUCAGGCCCCCAGUGCCUGGUGUUGGGGAUCGGCCCAGCCUUCCUGUAAGGCCGCCGGCCCCGAAAUCUAGUGGCGGUCUCGCUGUAGUCCUCCUCUGCGUAGUAGCACAACCUCGCAGUUGGAACGCGGCGGUGGCCAUGCCGUUAAACACCCCACUUCUGAAAGUUGACCUCGGAUCAGGUAGGAAUACCCGCUGAACUUAAGCAUAUCAAUAAGCGGAGGA
rnacentral:misc_RNA from 1 species